GAGGCGGGCUGGGCAAUCGCGGUGCCGACGGCAUCGAGGAAGGUCCGGACUCCACAGAGCAGGGUAGCGGCUAACGGCCGUCCGGCGAGGCGGUGCACGCGUUGCGCCGCCGAGCCGAGGAACAGGGCCACAGAGACGAGUCUGUGGCGCGGGCAUGUUUCGCAUGCACCGGCACGGCCAUCUCCGUGCCGCGCGCCGGGAAACCGGUGCGGCGCCGCAGGGUGAAACGCGGCAACCUCUAUCCGGAGCAACAUCAAAUAGGCAUGCGCAGGCCUUGGCCGAAAGAGCGGCUCGCUCGAGCAUGCGGGUAGAUGGCCAGAGCGCGGCAGCAAUGCCGCGCCCAGAGGAAUGAUUGCCCGCCGGGCUCGCCCGGCGUACAGAAUCCGGCCUAUAGGCCCGUCUCACAC
rnacentral:RNase_P_RNA from 1 species